AGUGAACGCUGGCGGUAGGCCUAACACAUGCAAGUCGAACGGCAGCACAGUAAGAGCUUGCUCUUACGGGUGGCGAGUGGCGGACGGGUGAGGAAUACAUCGGAAUCUACUUUUUCGUGGGGGAUAACGUAGGGAAACUUACGCUAAUACCGCAUACGACCUACGGGUGAAAGCAGGAGAUCUUCGGACCUUGCGCGAUUCAAUUAGCCGAUGUCGGAUUAGCUAGUUGGCUGGGUAAAGGCCCACCAAGGCGACGAUCCGUAGCUGGUCUGAGAGGAUGAUCAGCCACACUGGAACUGAGACACGGUCCAGACUCCUACGGGAGGCAGCAGUGGGGAAUAUUGGACAAUGGGCGCAAGCCUGAUCCAGCCAUACCGCGUGGGUGAAGAAGGCCUUCGGGUUGUAAAGCCCUGUUGUUGGGAAAGAAAAGCAGCAGGUUAAUACCCCGCUGUUCUGACGGUACCCAAAGAAUAAGCACCGGCUAACUUCGUG
rnacentral:rRNA from 1 species